rnacentral:Y_RNA from 1 species
GGCUGGUUCGAAGAUAAUGUUAUCUCAAUUAAUUGUUCAGUCAGUUACAGAUCAAACUCCUUGUGCUACUCUUUCCCCACUUCUCACUGCUGCACUUGACUAGUCUAGA